rnacentral:lncRNA from 1 species
CUGGCAGCGAGCGCAGAGAGCGCGCGGCGGCGGCGGCGGAGCUGGGCGUGGCAGGUGGACCGCACCGCACCGCACCGCACCGCACCGCACCGCACCGCGCGGCUCCGGCAGCGCCGAGGGUCUCCGUGCCGCGGGGGGGGCGCGGCAGCGGCAGUCGGCGGGGCUCGGCGGCUGUGGGUGCACGUGUCGUGUCCUCCCACACGCACAAAAUUUGCUGUGUUUUUUUUCUUCUUCUUCUCUCCAGCGUGAGCAGUGGGGGGAAAUUUUUUCAUUUUUCACUGCAGUUUUUAAUUUUUCAGUUCCAAGGGUUGCGUUAUUUUUCAAGCCCCGAAUUGCGUAGCGACCAGCGGAGCAUGCGAUGCCACAUGAGCUGAUGCACAAAGCUGUCUGCAUCCUGAAGAAGACCACAGAAUGCCUGGGAAAGGAGAACUCCAAAAAAGACCUCCAGUUCGAGAUGGCUCCCCAAACACAACUUGAGCAUACAGUUGCCUUCAUAGAAGAGGUCUCUAGAGCCAACCCAGAUGCGGUGAUAGGUGUUGUACCUCUUGUCCAGUUCACGUCAUCACUCAUGAAGAGUUUCGAAGGAGUAGCCAGCCAUUCUAAAGCAUGCCCUCUGGAUGAACAACACACUUGGAGAAAACUCAGCAGAUGAAGCUGUGAAGGGCUGAAAUGUACUGAUGCUGGAGAAUCUCCUGUGCCAUGUUGGUCCUCUCACUUCCAAGUUUUCAUGGCAAGACAGAUUUUUUUCAGGAAGGCUCUUCGGUGGCUUAGCUGUAAGAUGCUGAGCUGAAGGUACCUUCCAGAGUUGAAGCACUGGCUGAUCAAAGCUGAGGACUUCUGCUCCUUGGGGAAGGAUGGAGACUGAGUGUAGGAGAAGGCCCAAGUUAAAGAUCCCAAAGUCUUGUAAGAGAGGAACAAAGGCUGCACUGAAAGUGGGAUGAAACAACUAGCAGUGAUCAGAGAUGUAGGCUUGGAAGAAGGAGUUUGAGCCUGGAAGUGCCAAAGGAACUCUGUUUUGUAAGGGCCUAGUAUCUUAGAUCUUAAGAGAAGGAUGCCAUUUAAAGU